rnacentral:rRNA from 1 species
UUGCACGCUGGCGGCAUGCCUUACACAUGCCAGUCGCACGGUAACAGGUUAAGCUGACGAGUGGCGAACGGGUGAGUAAUGUAUCGGAACGUGCCCAGUCGUGGGGGAUAACUGCUCGAAAGAGCAGCUAAUACCGCAUACGACCUGAGGGUGAAAGCGGGGGAUCGCAAGACCUCGCGCGAUUGGAGCGGCCGAUAUCAGAUUAGGUAGUUGGUGAGGUAAAGGCUCACCAAGCCGACGAUCUGUAGCUGGUCUGAGAGGACGACCAGCCACACUGGGACUGAGACACGGCCCAGACUCCUACGGGAGGCAGCAGUGGGGAAUUUUGGACAAAGGGCGCAAGCCUGAUCCAGCCAUGCCGCGUGCGGGAAGAAGGCCUUCGGGUUGUAAACCGCUUUUGUCAGGGAAGAAAAGGUUCUGGCUAAUACCUGGGACUCAUGACGGUACCUGAAGAAUAAGCACCGGCUAACUACGUG